AUUUCAUUGUCUGGGCAUUGCACGAUUUUAUCCUCAAACCUAUGCCAUACUUCAUAUAAAGGCUCACCACUAUAUUGACAAAUAUAUAUUAUUUUGUCCCUUAAUUU
rfam:Capsicum annuum cultivar Zunla-1 chromosome 3, whole genome shotgun sequence